rnacentral:rRNA from 1 species
UACAGAGGUCUCAAGCGUUGUUCGGAUUCAUUGGGCGUAAAGGGUGCGUAGGCGGCGCGGUAAGUCGGGUGUGAAAUCUCGGGGCUUAACUCCGAAACUGCAUUCGAUACUGCCGUGCUUGAGGACUGGAGAGGAGACUGGAAUUUACGGUGUAGCGGUGAAAUGCGUAGAUAUCCGGAGGAACACCAGUGGCGAAGGCGGCUUCCUGGACCGACACUGACGCUGAGGCGCGAAAGCUAGGGGAGCAAACGGG